CGGCAGGGAGGGCUGGAGGGCUCGGCCUCCUCUUUUCUGCAAACGGUCGUCAAGGCAGGGUCAGCAACUCUGGGAGGCAGUGGCACCGGCCAUGGCGCCAAGGGGGUGCUGACGUGGAAGUCUCGCCCUGUGGGGGCGCCGGCGCAGGCAAGGCCCGUCUGGAGGGGCGGUCCUCCUGCAUGCCGGGCGAACCGGGUUAGGUCCGGAAGGGAGCGGCCCUAAGCUUGGACGGCGCCGUUCACAGGAUCACGGGAUGGAUGUCGGCUCCCCUAAGGGGCUGUGGUGCGGACCACCCACUUCUGGGGAUCUGCCG
rnacentral:SRP_RNA from 1 species